rnacentral:rRNA from 1 species
UACGAGAGCCCCGAGCGUUAUCCGGAAUUAUUGGGCGUAAAGGGUGUGUAGGUGGUUGUAUUAGUCUUGUGUGAAAGCCUGUCGCCUAACGACAGAUCCGCACGGGAAACGGUACGACUGAGAGGGUGCAAGAGGUGUACGGAACUCAUGGUGUAGGGGUGAAAUCCGUUGAUAUCAUGGGGAACGCCAAAAGCGAAGGCAGUACACUGGUGCAUACCUGACACUGAAACACGAAAGCGUGGGUAGCGAAUGGG